GCCGUUAUUGGAGUAAAUUGUUGGCUAAUUAAUGACAGAAAGUUUUAUAAAGUUAAUUAUUAAAUAUUAUUAUCUAAAGUUAAAACAAUUAUAAACAUUAACCUGAAGGCGUUGAUAUCAAUUAUUAGUAUGUAUAUAUAUUGGAAACUGGGACAUUAAUUAAAUUAUUUAUUAAGAGGUAUAUGACAGCGUUAAAGUUCGUAUUACUAAUUAGUAAAAUUAAUUCUCGACCUCGGUGACAAGGUACUCUAGUUUCAAUUAGUCUUACGGCAAUUGGCUGAGAAACUGACGUCUACGACGUCAAUGUGAAAUUGCUUUUCCGAAUACAAUAAUCAGCUUACUUGAUGCAUUCCACAAUGGGGGAUAAAUUCAUCUUUGAGAAAGCACAGAGAGAUAAGAUUAAGGAAAAGUCGUGUUUUAAGAUUUAUAUCGAACAAUAGUCCCGGAACAUUAAAUUUAUCUGCUAAAUUGUCUCUAUAUACCUAAUAUAAUUCUGGUAGCGAUGUGGGUAUAUGAGAGGAUUUAUCACGAGGAUUUAAUACUAUUUUUCCGAGGGGACCCUUAUUGUUAUUAGUUUUGCUGAAGUGUAAUUUACCUCAAAUUUGUCUGUAUCAGUAGAAUUCAGAUGAAUACUCUCGGGAAUGGAUGUUAGUAUGUCUUGGCUAUCAGCUUUG